rnacentral:rRNA from 1 species
GUGGCAGACGGGUGAGUAACGCGUGGGAACAUACCUCUUGGUUCGGAACAACACAGGGAAACUUGUGCUAAUACCGGAUAAGCCCUUACGGGGAAAGAUUUAUCGCCGAGAGAUUGGCCCGCGUCUGAUUAGCUAGUUGGUAGGGUAAUGGCCUACCAAGGCGACGAUCAGUAGCUGGUCUGAGAGGAUGAUCAGCCACAUUGGGACUGAGACACGGCCCAAACUCCUACGGGAGGCAGCAGUGGGGAAUAUUGGACAAUGGGCGCAAGCCUGAUCCAGCCAUGCCGCGUGAGUGAUGAAGGCCCUAGGGUUGUAAAGCUCUUUUGUACGGGAAGAUAAUGACGGUACCGUAAGAAUAAGCCCCGGCUAACUUCGUGCCAGCAGCCGCGGUAAUACGAAGGGGGCUAGCGUUGCUCGGAAUCACUGGGCGUAAAGGGUGCGUAGGCGGGUUUUUAAGUCAGAGGUGAAAUCCUGGAGCUCAACUCCAGAACUGCCUUUGAUACUGAAAGUCUUGAGUAUGGGAGAGGUGAGUGGAACUGCGAGUGUAGAGGUGAAAUUCGUAGAUAUCCCAAGACACCAGUGGCGAAGGCGGCUCACUGGCCCAUUACUGACGCUGAGGCACGAAAGCGUGGGGAGCAAACAGGAUUAGAUACCCUCGUAGUCCACGCCGUAAACGAUGAAUCCAGCCGUUAGUGGGUUUACUCACUAGUGGGGCAGCUAACGCUUUAAGCAUUCCGCCUGGGGAGUACGGUCGCAAGAUUAAAACUCAAAGGAAUUGACGGGGGCCCGCACAAGCGGUGGAGCAUGUGGUUUAAUUCGACGCAACGCGCAGAACCUUACCAGCCCUUGACAUGUCUAUGAUCGGUACCAGAGAUGGAACCUUCCCUUCGGGGCAUAGAGCACAGGUGCUGCAUGGCUGUCGUCAGCUCGUGUCGUGAGAUGUUGGGUUAAGUCCCGCAACGAGCGCAACCCCCGUCUUUAGUUGCUACCAUUUAGUUGAGCACUCUAAAGAGACUGCCGGUGAUAAGCCGCGAGGAAGGUGGGGAUGACGUCAAGUCCUCAUGGCCCUUACGGGCUGGGCUACACACGUGCUACAAUGGCGGUGACAAUGGGAUGCAAAGGGGCGACCCCUCGCAAAUCUCAAAAAGCCGUCUCAGUUCGGAUUGGGCUCUGCAACUCGAGCCCAUGAAGUUGGAAUCGCUAGUAAUCGUGGAUCAGCAUGCCACGGUGAAUACGUUCCCGGGCCUUGUACACACCGCCCGUCACACCAUGGGAGUUGGUUCUACCUGAAU